UUGCACUGAAAACCAAAUGAUCGGGCCAUAGCAUCCAUUCAGCAAAGCAUGGAUUCAACCUGCGUCAUCUAUCCUCAUUCAUCGUAGCGAGGUUUCCCAGAUCUGACAAAGACGUGAAACAGCAUGAUAUCCUGCAAGUCUUCACAGCAUUUACCUGAAUCUGCACAUAUAACGACAUCCGCCUGGCAGAAUAAGCCUCAGACCUUCUGUCAUUCCACAAUUGGUAGGUCGUCUCGGAGAUUGAUGAAGAGGGCCAAAACCAGUAUUGAAAAGAGAGUAAAAUCUAGAACAAAAGAAUAGUGAGAACGAAGAGGGUUCAGGAUCGAAGAUUGCAAGCA
rnacentral:sRNA from 2 species